GUUGCCGUGGAGAACGACGAGGGUGUCGUUAGCGGGAAAGCGGUCUCCCGAGGCGUCGGUUGGGUCGUCGCGACGACUGUGGUCGAGACGCCAGAGGAAGGCGAAGUCUUGCGGGUCGGUCUGGGAGGAGCGAUCUGUGUCGGCCAAUGACGGAGGAGGGGAGGGGCGGUGGGGGUUAGGGUUAAGGUUAGGGUUGAGGUCAGGGUUAAGGUCAGGGUUGAGGUCAGGGUCAAGGUUAAGGUUAGGGUUGAGGUUAGGGUCGAGGUCAGGGUUGAGGUCAGGGUUGAGGUUAGGGUCAGGGUUAAGGUCGGGGUUAAGGUUAAGGUCAGAGUCGAGAUUAGGGGCGAGGUCAGAGUCGAGAUUAGGGGCAAGGUCAGAGUCGAGAUUAGGGUCAAGGUCAGGGUCAAGGUCAGGGGCGAGGUCUAUCUGUGGUUUGGGGGAGGGAGGGGUGUUGUUUGUGAAGGUGAGUGCCAGUUUGCACUGUUUCCCCGCCCUGCGACUCUGCUGCUGCUGCUUCCGCUCCUGACUGCCCCCACCAAGAUGGCCGAAUUCACCUUCCAUCCUGGUCUCACUAGCAUCAGUACACUGACUGAC
rnacentral:lncRNA from 1 species